CCUACGGGCUGCAGCAGUGGGGAAUAUUGGACAAUGGGCGAAAGCCUGAUCCAGCCAUGCCGCGUGUGUGAAGAAGGCCUUCGGGUUGUAAAGCACUUUCAGUGGGGAAGAAAGCCUUGGGGCUAAUACCCUCGAGGAAGGACAUCACCCACAGAAGAAGCACCGGCUAACUCCGUGCCAGCAGCCGCGGUAAUACGGAGGGUGCGAGCGUUAAUCGGAAUUACUGGGCGUAAAGCGCGCGUAGGCGGUCUGAUAAGCCGGUUGUGAAAGCCCCGGGCUCAACCUGGGAACGGCAUCCGGAACUGUCAGGCUAGAGUGCAGGAGAGGAAGGUAGAAUUCCCGGUGUAGCGGUGAAAUGCGUAGAGAUCGGGAGGAAUACCAGUGGCGAAGGCGGCCUUCUGGACUGACACUGACGCUGAGGUGCGAAAGCGUGGGUAGCAAACAGGAUUAGAUACCGUGUAGUC
rnacentral:rRNA from 1 species